UACGGGGGGGGCAAGCGUUGUUCGGAAUUACUGGGCGUAAAGGGCUCGUAGGUGGCCAACUAAGUCAGACGUGAAAUCCCUCGGCUCAACCGAGGAACUGCGUCCGAUACUGGCAGGCUGGAAUCCGGGAGAGGGAUGUGGAAUUCCAGGUGUAGCGGUGAAAUGCGUAGAUAUCUGGAGGAACACCGGUGGCGAAGGCGGCAUCCUGGACCGGUAUUGACGCUGAGGCGCGAAAGCUAGGGGAGCAAACGGG
rnacentral:rRNA from 1 species